rnacentral:rRNA from 1 species
CCUACGGGUGGCUGCAGUGAGGAAUAUUGGUCAAUGGGCGUAAGCCUGAACCAGCCAAGUCGCGUGAGGGAUGAAGGUUCUAUGGAUCGUAAACCUCUUUUAUAAGGGAGUAACGUGCGGGCCGUGUCCCGUUUUGUAUGUACCUUAUGAAUAAGGAUCGGCUAACUCCGUGCCAGCAGCCGCGGUAAUACGGAGGAUCCGAGCGUUAUCCGGAUUUAUUGGGUUUAAAGGGUGCGUAGGGGGGCUUUUAAGUUAGCGGUGAAAGUCUGUGGUUCAACCAUAGAAUUGCCGUUGAAACUGGGAGGCUCGAGUAUGCUUGAGGAAGGCGGAAUGCGUGGUGUAGCGGUGAAAUGCUUAGAUAUCACGCAGAACCCCGAUUGCGAAGGCAGCAUACCAAGCCAUGACUGACGCUGAUGCACGAAAGCGUGGGGAUCAAACAGGAUUAGAUACCCGGGUAGUC